AUACUUUCUGGGGAAAGGGUGCAUAGCUUUCAUCAGAUUCUCAAAGGGGCUUUUGUCCAAAAAAGAUUUGAAAACCACCGAUUCCCAAGCAUCUACCGAGACCCAGUGGCAUAAUUUAUACCUGGUCCCUGUCAUUUUUUUCUAAACCCUUGCCUAGAGAUCUAUUCUAGGGAGCCUUUCAUCGGUCCCGGGGUGGGGAGGAGGGGGGUGUAAAGCCCUCCUCAUAAAGCCUCCUUUGGGGCCGUUGUGGCUGAGUGACUCCCCGAAGUCCCCGGUGCUGCGCAGCGCGGGGCGCAGGGGUGGCCGCCCAGGGAAGGGUGGGAAGGGUCGCAUCGCCGCUUCCAGGGGGCGGGAGGGGGGAGGCUGCGGGAGCCGGAGCGGAUGUCACGGCUUACCUCAGAGCCCGAAUUAGAAGGCUGAAAAAAUCACAGCAGGAAAUAAUGUGGUGCCUAAAAUAGAAGCAUCAACUGGGAGAGAGGCCGGGGAGUAGGUGGCAUUUGAGGCUCCUGCCGAGUCCUCCCCAGCGGCUGCCUGACUAGUGCGUCGGAGGCGCGUGUGGAUGCAAUCAGGACAGAAAAGGCCAGAAUAGGCCAGAAAGGCCGAGGCUGCCUUUCUGCUGAGGAAGGGGGGCUGCUCAGUAAACAGACACUCAGAUGGGACGGCAGGGCCGCCCUUUCUGGCCCGCUUGCCUCCCUGCUGGUUCCUUCUCACCUCCUCCUCCUCCUUCCCUCCCCCCUCUCAAUAUCCCCUCCCCCACUUUGGUCUCCUGCCUUCCCCGCUGCCUCCAGCCUCCUCCUCCACCCACUGCCUUCCUCUUAACCCUCCCUUUUUCCCCCCUCCCCCUCUGUUUUUUCCCACACGAGCCCCUCCAUCUCUCCCCUUUUCCCCAAAGCCCUGCCUGCUUUCCUCCUGGUCUCUGGAUUGCCAGCAGCUUGACCUCCACACCGGAAGCUGCUGGGAGGCCCUUAGUGCCUUCCUAGGCAAUCCAAUCAGAGGUCGUUCUAGGAGCAACAACCCUCAAGGUCAGCCUCCCUGGGCCUGACUGCAAGACCCCUCCACCACCCCUGACCCAGUCACCACCCCCCAUCUCUGUGAGACUGUCAAAGCCUGGCGCCUGCAAAAAGGCCAGCAGGGUGGGUGUUCCUUCACCGGACCACUCUCUCCAGAGGGGUUGAGCUGAAGCAAAAACUCUGCCUGCAGAUGGGGGCUGGCCCUCCUUACGUGGACACCUCCACGGAUGAGGACCCUCACAGAGGUUCCCUGACUGGCCAUAGCGUUUGCCAGGCAGGGGGCUGGCUGCUGCAGUAGGGGCUGAGACACACAGCCACAUACAAAAAUAGUACCUGGCCAGCCUUUACAUAUUAACUCUCUUAAUCCUCACAACAACCCCCUACUAGAAAAGUAGGUACUUUUAUUAUUCCCAUUUUCCACGUGAGGAAACUGAGACACACAAAAAUAAAUUAAGUUGGCCAUGUUCACAGAGCUAGGCCAGUGGAAGGGCCAGGAUUUGGGCCCCCAGUGGUCUGACUGCAGGGUCCCUUCUGCUGAACUUCACCUGCUGUUAUUGCCUCUUAGCUUAGUGCCCUUCUACUCAGCUUUUCUUUCUAAAAAUGAUUUUUGUUUUGUUAUUUUUUUUUCCCUGAAAGUAAGCAUAAGAUAUUUGAGAUUCUAAGCGUUAUGGGUGCCUUGAGAUUUCAGUUCUUAAAAAAAUCAGAUACUCUUAAUUUUUACUUCUCUGGGUGUUUUUCCCCCCAGCUGUUGCUCUACUGAAAAUAAGUGCUCUCAUUUUUGCCAUUUGCAAAUGCUGUGCGUCCUUGUCACCAUCUGGAAUGGAAUGGGCAUUCAUUCGUGCUCAAGUGCGCUGCCCACACACGUACAUGCGCCUCUGGUUCCCUCCCUCAUUAUGCCUUUGCACUGCUCCUGGGUUAAUGGCUUAUGAUUUGCCAAACAGAAUUCUCAGGAAAGGUAUGUGGCUAAUGUGGCUUCAAAUGGGCUUUGUUCCCUGGGGCCUGGGAGCUAAGUGGGAAUAAGUGGUAAGAAGUGUGGCUAAGGUUGUGGGUUAGGGGACUAAAAGACAAGUCAGAAUAAAAUAAUAAUAUAUAGUUAACAUUUAUUAAUACUUACUAAAUGCAAGGCAUUGUGCUAAGCAGUCUUACAGGGAUGAUCUCAUUGAAGUGACACAAUAGCCUAUGUUAUUAGUAGUGUCACCCUGUGGCAUUCAUUAAUAGUAUCACCACCAUUUGACAGAAAAGUCAAGGUUGGGUAAGGCUUAGCAUGCAUUGAACUGGCACUCUGGUUCAGCAGAUUAAAAGGAGGUGCUAGUUUUUGCAAGCUUUUUUUCUCUCCGAAAUAUCCGGAAAGAUCUUUGUCAUCGUGCUGAUUAUACAAGUACUACGCUCCCUGUGAAGAAUUAAAGCAACAGAGAAGUGUGCAAAGUAAAAUAUAGAAGUCCUUCCCCACGGCGUGCCUCUGCAUAGACUCUGACACACUUGUACAUAUCACACUGUCAUGCUCUUCAGGGGACAUCUUUGUGUGUGUCCGUACACACUUGAUUGUCAUUUCCAAAAGUCAGCGGGGAGUUGGUGGGCCAGAAGCUUGGAACGCUUAUGUUUUGGUCAUUCGUUGAAAUGGACAAGUUAUGAUUUCACUUUAAGCCAUGAUGUGCAAUGAAAGGCAAGGAUGCAGUAUAAGUAGACCCUUGUGUUAAUGAGUGCGGUCUUAGAAAAAGCGAUUUGUUAUUAUGUCCUGGGAGACUUACCAAUGUUCAUGCUUUUUGCCUCAGAGCAAUUCCGCUUAUGGGAGUGUGUGUCUGACCCAAGCAAAUAAAUAAGUGAAAAAGUAAUAUUUAGCAUUAGGAGAGUGAAACUUUGGGCGUAACUUAAAUGCCUUUCAGUAAAGAAACGGUUAAGUAGUAAGUGGGAAAAAAUGACGACCAUCUUUUUUUUGAGGGAAUAUUAUAUGCUCACUAAAAAUGAUGGUUAUGAAGACUCUAGUAACAUGGUGAAAAUGCUUAGAAGGUAAAGUCUAAUGAAAAAAGUAGUUCGCACAGUUAUAUGCACGUAUGAUUACAUUUGUCUGAAAAGAAACUGUAAAGAAAUAGCAGCAAAAUGAUACCAAUGGUUAUAUUAUAGUGUUGGGAUUAAUGCGGUUUUCUUUGUCAUUCUUUCUGUAAUGUGGUUUAUUUUUGUAGCAAAAAUUAUGUUUGUUUAAAGACUGGAAAAUGGAUGGAAAUUGUCAAAGAACUCCGCUUCCUUUCUCCUCCCUGGAUUUGAGUUUCAAUUUCUGUAAAAGAAGUAGUUAGACUAGAAGGAGAGGACUUCUAACUCCUCCCAGUUCUGAUAUUGUAGAUUCUCUGAUAUAAGCAGGUGGCUCUUUCUGUUACAGACUCAAAGCCAAAAUUCAGUCUUCCCACUGAAAACGGACAGAUCAGACAAGAACCUGUUUUGUAGCAGUUAGCUUAGGCUAUGCUUGCGUGUGUAAAUGUCUCCAUGUUAACUGGGAGAAGAAGAAUGUUGUUUAAAUCUGUGUAGAUGCAUCCUUAGGCCGAUUGCUUUCAUUGGGAGAUAGAGGGCCCCAGACUUGGGAGUCCUGGGACUGGAUGGUGAGCAGUCAUUUCCUGGCCCAUCCCAACAUUGAGGGGCUGUGUCGGGGCCCAGGUCCCUCAUUCCCCCUCCUCUGCAGUGCAGGGCCUGAAUGGACACUGUUUUCCCUGCCUGGUAAAGAGGUCCUUUAAGACAAGAACUGGGUUUUUAUCCCUGGUAUCUGAACUAUGAAUGAAUGAAUGAAUGAAUGAAUGAACGAACGAAUGAACAAAUGGGAGAGAGAUAGAGUGAAGAAAGCCCAUUAUAUGGGAGACCCAGGAUUUCACUGCAUCUUUGAAAUAAGUGAGGCUAGCAGUCAGGGGAAGCAUGUUAUGAGUUCAUAUAUCUGGAGUAGUGUGUGUGUGUGUGUGUGUGUGUGUGUGUGUGUGUGUGUGUGUGUAGUGUUUGGAAAGGGGAAAGGCUAGAAGAAUACCUCUCUGCUGGCACAGCCUUCGUCAGAGCCCUGAAAAGGGCUGAGUGGGCUCUGACUCAGCUCUGUGACUCACUUUCUGCAUUGCUGUCUCCACACUCUGGGCACAUCCUCUGGACCAUUUCAGCUCAGCCUCGAGUGGAGGAGGGUGAGAUUUGGGCCGGUACAUUCGGAUGACUCAUCCUGCUAAGCUGGAAGGAAGGGGCCAAAGCCCCCCUAUCCUGCACUCCCAUCACCAACCCUGCAUCUCCAGGGGUUCCUCUGAAGCCCAGACCUCAUGCAUGGGUUAUGGCUAUUCCACCCAGACACUAUGCACCACCCACCCACACCUCCCUGCUUAGAUUGCCAUAAUUUCCUUGGUGCCUUCACUUGGUUGUCCCCUGUGCUUCUUGUGGGCGUCCGAAGUCAGCCUGCAAGGCUCUUCCACACCACCCAACUGCCAUUCUGUUCUUUACCUCUCACAAAACUUUCCAGCUCACAAGAUAGUUUUACAUCCCUCUUCUCACUUGAUUCUCUCCAGGACCCUACGAAGCCUGGAAGGGUGACGAGUAUCACCACUGUACAGGGAGAGACCUUGUAAAAGGAUGAGUGAGGGGCGUUGAGGGCUGGGGUGGACUGGGGCAUGCCGAGGGAGGGGUGGAGCUGGCAAGGGUACUGCCAGGCAUUUGGUUGGACAGUGAGCUGGGGAAGAGGGACGGUGCUGGCUGGUUUGUAGUACAACAAGAAAUACGUCUACAUGGGGGCAGAAGAUAGACAAGGUGUCUUGACUUUAUCUUGAGACCAAUGGGAAACCCUUGAGAGAUUUUAAGCAGGGGACCCUGGUUUUGGCGUGGCAGGGAAUUGGAGCAGGGCAGCUAGGAGGCUCUCUCUGCAGUUCAGUUGAGAGCGGAUGGUCCACCUGUGGACAGCAGCUCCUGGGGUGGCGUCACCUCUGAGUAAAUCGUUUAUGCUAAUUCUAUGGUAAAGGGGGCCAGAAGUCUUGACAGACAGUGACCGGAGCAGGGCAGUAGAUGAGUGGCUCAGGGAAGAGGGAGGCACACUGGGGCCCCCUACACUUAAGAGCUGAGCAAAGGCAGGUGCGGCCCCUGCGACAGUAGUCUCACAGGAGGAGGGCAUGGUGUAAUGUUAGGGCACCUGCCUGCCCGUGACAAGUUCCUGUGAAGGAGACACGUUACUUUUGUCUCACAGAAGUUCACAGGUAAAAGGACUUGAGGGGACCCUUGGGUCUUCCCUCUGUCGUGAUCCUUCUGCCACCCAAUGCUGGGCUGCACAGGUCGCCACUCAGGAAGUGAGGACACGGUCUUGGAAGACAGCCAGGAAGUGGCCUCUCAGUAGAGUUCCCAGAGCAGCCAGGGGGCUGUAGCUGCAGGCUCUGGGGAGGGACUGGACUCCCUGAGCCCUUUUAGCCCUGGGGAAUUCAGAGAGGGUAAUGUUUCCAGGUAAAAUAUGGGAUGCCCAGUUGAAUUUGAAAGUCAGAUAAAUAACAAAUAAUUUUUAGUAUAUCUCAAACAUUCCAUGGGACAUACUUACAUUUUAAAAGUAUGUGAUUCUUAUCUGAAAUUCAAGUCUAACUGGAUGUCUGCCCUAUAUUUUUAUUUGCUAAAUUUGGCAACCCUUGGGGUGUCCCACUGCUGCAGCCUACCAGGGCCUGGGGAUUUUCCUCUGUCUGAGACCAUGUUAAGAACAGUCUCUGCAUCCCUCACCCUGUCUUGGGACCUCACCUGGGGCUCAGGUCGCCUGGGGAGACAAGCUCUGUCCCUGAUUGCCCUCAGCUUCUGGCUCAGGCCAGCAGGCGUCUAACCCAAGAUAGUGUGGCCUUCCACAUGCUAGUGGCUCUCCACCUGGGUGGGGACAGGCUGCUGCUUCUGAUCGUGAGACCUAGCUAAUGAGGUACCAGGGCUGUCCUCUGGUCAGCAGUGUCUGCCAGGGUGUCACAUCCAGGCCCAGCAGGUAGCCCAAGGGGCCUGGGACUAGAGGACUGGAGGAAAAGGGAGAUGUCAGCUCUGCCCUGGGUCUAUGAAUUAAAGGUAGUUUUUUAAAAAUGGCAACACCGUGGGGCACCUGGGGGGCUCAGUCAGUUAAGCAUCCGGUAUCGGCUGGGGUCGUGAUCUUAGCGGUUUGUGAGUUCGAACCCUGCUGUGCUGACAGCUCAGAGCCUGGAGCCUGCUUCGGAUUCUGUGUGUCUCUCUCUCUUUCUCUGCCCCUCCCCUGCUCGUACUCUGUGUCUCUCUCUGUCUCUCUCUCUCUCUCUCAAAAAUAAGUAAACAUUAAAAAAAAUUUUUUUUAAACGGCAAUGCCAUACCUGGCCUGGGCUUUACAGAGUUCAAGAGGUUUUCACAUGUCUGACCUCAUUUGACUUUUACCAUGUCCUUGUCAAGUGAGCAAGGAGGGUAUUUGUAGCCACUUUCUCCUUUGUAGGUGAACAAACGGGCUGAGAGAUUAAAGUCUGCCCGGAAUGCUGAGGCUCCCUGCUAGCACAGAGCAAGGUGAUCAGCCAGGCUGCUGCUCUGAGAAGUAUGGGAGUUGGUGCUCUGGGUGAAGUUUCUCCAUUUCCACAGCAGGGGGCAGACCUGAGGCCAUGCUUUGAUGGAUGGAUGGUUGGGGCCAUGGCUCUGCUCCGGCCACAGGCAAAAGGGGCAGGCAGGCCGCUCUCACUGGAGGAGCUUGGAGAACUUCCUUAGGAUGCAUCUUUUCAGUACCCCUUCCCUGAGCACGGAGUGGACAGUGGAGAUGACCUCCCUGGGGCAGCAGAACCCCGGUGCUGAGUGCUGGGAGUGAGGGUGUGGGUCAGUCACAGCAGAGUCUCUGUGAAUGUUGAACGAGACUUUGAAGGAGGACGACACAGUGGUGGGUGUGGCUGAAAUUGUGCAUGUGAGGAGUUGAGUUGUAUGUGUUUAUUCCAGAAAUAUUUUCUGAGCAUCCACUACAUGCCAGACAGUAUUCUAGAUCUGGGGAUACUGCAGGAUAGAAUAGAUGUGAUGCCUAGAAUACACAGAUUGUCUUCUCUCGCUCGUGAGUUGGCUAUUUUGACCCUAGCAAAUGCAAUGCAAAAUUUAGCCCCUUUACCAGCUUCCAGAAAAAAAAAAUCCUUUGCUAGCAAAUGUAGAGUAAGGGGCUAAUUUUACUGAAGAUUUCCUGGGAUGGGGUGAGAAGCGAUGUGGCUCUUCUCGCAGCCUCUCAUUCUGUGAAUCCUUCUCCCACGUUUCCUUUUGACCCUGCAGUUGUCCUGGGGGCACAGGUCUCUCUCUCCACUCCCCAACCAAAGCUCCCCGUCUGGCCAGCCUUUCUCCCGCAGUUUUGCACAGGCUUGGGAGGGAAGGCUUUUUGUCUCAUUUCUGUCUCAUUGUUUGACCUUGAAGGACACAGCCUUGAUCUGCAGGGCUCCUGCUUUCUGACAUGGUGGUGUCGGCUCUAUCCCAUUUCCACUUCUCAGAAUUGUUCCAGGGUGAAGUGAGCUUGUAUCUGAAAGGACUUUUGCUCAGAUCUCUAGCACCAUGGGUCAUGUCAACCAGAGACACACUUGAUGGCGUCUUGCUUUCAGUGUUAGCUCAGGCAGGGGAAGACCAGGCCCUAGAAUUUUACAAACUUGGGAGAUGAUGUCCCUGUGGGAGUAAAGGUUCUUUUUAUUUUAUUUUAUUUUAUUUUAUUUUAUUUUAUUUUAUUUAUUUUAUUUUAUUUAUUUUAUUUUAUUUUAUUUAUUUUUAAAGUUUACUCAUUUUAAGAGAGAGAGAGUGUGCAAGCAGGAGAGGGGCAAAGAGACAGGCAGAGAGAGAAUCCCACCAGGCUCCACACUGUCAGCGCAGAGCCCAGUGCAGGGUUUGAACUCAGGGACUGUGAGAUCAUGACCUGAGCUGAAACCAGAAGUCCGACGCUUAAUUGACUGAGCCACCCAGGCGCCCCCCUUUUAUUUUAGAUUGGAUAUAGUUUAGCACUUUGUUCUCACUCUUGUUAAUAAAAUAAAACAAUAAACACUCGCUACCAUCAAAAGAACAUUGACAGCCUGUGUUUAUGUGUUUGUGUUGUGUCUGUCACUAAAGCUGUAACUGCAAUGUAGAUUUUUAACAAAAUGGUUUUCAUUCAGUGCUGGGGAGUAUGAUAAUUAAAAACAAAAAGGAGGGCAGAUUCUUCUACUGCAUCUUUUCAAUCCUGCUUUCGCUUCCUUUUCCUCUUUUUCAUUUCUCCCUUAAAACAGAGGAGUUGAUCCCUCUGUUAACAUUGACCUUGGCCAUCUCUGACAAGACCAAAGCAGAGAAGCUGGGUACUAAGAGUGCCUGUGCUCAUUCUGUGAAGAGUCCAAGUAGGAAGCCAGGCAAAUGCUCUCCUUCCUUCCACUGUUGCCUGUUGCCUGUUGCGGGUGGGUUUGUUUGCUGCUCUGCUCCGCCCGCUCCUCAGAAGUCUGCACUGUGAGCUGGACCGCUGAAUGUGGUGCCUCUGGUGAGCGAUGUGUGAAUGAGGAGAGCAAGGAAAGAGAAGAGGAAAGAAGAGAAAAGGCAAGGAGCAAAGAGAGACUUCUCAGUUGCCUUGUGAGCUCAGGGACAAAGAUGACAGACACAACAGUCAUGACACAUCUUAAUCAGGAGUUCAGUUUAUUGGCUGAAAGUAACAGGAACAAUUCUAAUUAGCUUGAGCCUCCAAGGGGAAAGUGUUGGUCUCAUAAGCUGACGGUGGAGACAGCAGAGAGGGAACAACUGGGUUCUGGGAGUGGCCACCCUGGGGACUCACCUUCCCCUCUUGGGUGUUAGUACAUCUGCAGCUCUCAGGGCUGUGCCAGAAAGAAGAGAGAUCUUCCCACCAGCUUCCGGUAGAAGGCUCUGACAAACAGCAACAUACCAUUUUUUAGUCGUCAGAUUUCAAAAAUGUUAGACUUCAUUAAUCUCAACUAUCGGCGAAGGGAUGGGAAAAUAGCGAUCUUAACGCUCUGAUACGCUGCUGGGGGGUGGGGUAAGUUGUCCCUUUGGAGGAAAAUGUGACACUUGUAUUAUGAUUUUAAGUGUGGGUACUAUUGAUCUGAUGGUGCCACUUCUUCUCAAAAUCCAGAUUAGUAAAUCUCACACAUGCGCAUACAGAAAUAUAGGCAAAGAUGUUAUUUGAAAUGUUCUUUGUAGAACAAAAUUGGGAAUCACUUAAAUGUUCAUCUUUAAACCACGAUAUGUAUAUUUUAUACUCUGAGUAUAUGGAAACUGUUAAAAAAAUGAAGUAUGUACUGACACAAACUCCUAACUUGUCUUGGUAAAUGAAAAAACUAAUGUGCAGAAUGAUGCGUACAAUAUUGCUAUUCACUUGAGCAUAAACAAAAACAGAAACAAAACCUUGAAAUAAUCGGUAUGUCUAUGUGUAUGUGUAUCACGUAUGUUUCAAAGUAUAUCCAAAUGCUUAGAAAAAAAUUUGAUGAGGGGGGCACCUGGGUGGCUCAGUCCGUUAAAUGUCUGACUUCAGCUCAGGUCACGAUCUCACCACUUGUGAGUUCGAGCCCCACCUCGGGCUCUGUGCUGACAGCUCAGAGCCUGGAGCCUGCUUCGGAUUCUGUGUCUCCCUCUCUCUCUGCCCCUCCCCUGCUCAUGCUCUGUCUCUCUCUGUCUUUCAAUAAUAGACAAACGUUAACAAAAAUUAAAAAAAGAAAUAAGUUUGAUGAGGAAUUAAGGAAUGGGAAUUGAAGGAGACUGUCAUGUUUGAAUUUUUUCGAUGAUAACAUAUCCGUGUAUGAUUUAUGUAUUUAGAUUUAAGAUUGAAGAGGAGAAAAUAAUGGGAGUAUUCUGAUUGCUUCAACUUGGGUCAUGUGACUAUUUCUUGGCCAUCAGUGACCAAGGGGCUCCCAGGGCUCUGACUGGCCGUGCCUGGGUUACACAUUCACCCCUAUGAACACUGGAACAAUACUCAUGAUCGGCAGUUCCUUCCAUAAUUACACGUUGUUGUGGGGAAGGAGCUGUUCCCUCAAAAAAGGGAGGUGCUGUUCUGGGCAGACAAAAUGAUACAUCUCUGUAGUGAAAAUAUUUGGGCCCGCAUCAUCUGUAUGGGUUUAUGUAUGUGUCGUCCAAGGCUGAAUGCUUUGUUCAAUAUGUUUUUAUUACAGUACAGGAUAAGGAUUUGUUUUGCUCACUGCUAUAUCCCCAGAACCCGUGAAGGUUCAGGGUAUAUAGUAGUUGCUUGGCUUAGCAGAUAUUGGUUGAAUGGAGACACCACUAUUUUCAUCUAUGGUUAUUUUAAUAGUAAUCUACAAAUGGGCCUGCUGACAGAGGCAACUCUUCCCAGAUGCUCUCAGUAGGGGCAGUACAGAGAAAGGAAGAGGAAGUCAAAUCACCAGCUCAGGACUCCUCCCAAGGCCGGGGAGUCACCAGGACCCACACCUGGGACAGUUUGACAAUGACUUGGCUGAGGCAUGGGGUUGGGCAGGGGGAGUAUCUGCAGCCCAGUCUCUCACACUCCUCAUGACUAAGUGAUUCUUCCUUUCUGGGCUACUCAUUUGCAAAUGCUCCCUUAGUCCGUGUUAUAGACUCACCAGCUGUGGAAGAUGGAGCCACAGAGGAAGAGAAGGUGGCAAAAUGGGCCAGGUCACCUAGGGUGGGUGACCCUUGGAACGCCAAAUCACAAGCACUCUUCCAGGUCAUAAAAAUCGUGUGAAGGCAUUUUAAUUAAGGCCAGGAGAGACCAGCAUGGAAAUCCGUGUAUGUUUGCUGGCAAAGGAGGAGGUGUGAGUGGAGAGAGAGACUCAAAGAUGGUACAGGGUGACGGAGGUCAGCCAGGAGCCCAAGUGGGGCCAGGGCCAGGAGUGGGGGGUGGCGCUGGGGCAGUUAGGGCUGGAGGUGUUCUGGGUGGGGAGGCAAACUGCCCCUUGCUUUCACUCUCACUCCUGUACUAGCUCCAGUGACCCCCAGAGACCAGGCAGUGAGUCCAUAUUCUUCAGGUUCAGUGGAUUUUCUGGUUGGAGAAAUGUGAGAAUUUAAAUUGUGGGGCACCUGGGUGGCUCAGUCGGUUAAGUGUCAUGACUUCAGCUCAGGUCAUGACUCACGGUUUGUGGGUUCGAGCCCCGCGUCGGGCUCUGUGCUGACAGCCCGGAGCCUGGAGCCCGCUUCAGAUUCUGUCUCCCUCUCUCUCUGCCCCUCUGCCACUCAUGCUGUCUUUCUCUCAAAAAUAAACAUUAAAAAAAUUUAAAAAGAAAAUUAAAUUGUUGCCACCAAACGAUCUAGUUGCUGAACCUUUGAACCUUGAGCUGAGUUUGGCCUGGCUGAGUCGUCCAUGAGAACCCAAGGGGAGCUAGAGGUGUGCGUGUCUGGUGGAGACUAGAAAUGCAAGCCGGACAGUUCAAAACCGGAAUAGAUUCCGGGACACAUUUCAGACAUCUUUCCUUCACCCCCAGGGCCCUGUCCCCUCAUCAGCCCCGUAACCAUUGGCCACCUUGACUCCCACCGGCAAAUGCCUCCACCCUUUCCUAUGGUCAUUACCUACCAUUUAUAUUUAUUGAGUACCUACUGUGUGCCAGAUACUACAAGACACUGAUGUUAUAAGAUAUAUCCUUGUCCUUAAGAGACUUCCGUGUAACCCGCAGCUUGCUCAGGGGGCCCCAGAGAUCCCCAAAACUUUUGUCUGUGUGAUAGACCUUUCUGUGAACUGAUGACGGCUUUGCACAGCUCCCCAGAAAAACACAACCUGCGUGGAAAUUUGCAUACAGUUGAAGGUGGCACCAAUUUCCUGGAAGCCCGUUUAUGACCUAAGUGUCUGUGUUCCCAAAGUCGCAAAUGUUUUAUCUAAUUUAACCCUCUCAUUCUGUAGAUCAGGAAACUCAGACCUGAGAGAGAGAAAUGACUUGUCCAGGGUCACACAGUGGGUUAGGGACUGAGUCAGACCUUGACACCAGGACUACUGGCUCCCCCAGGCACUGCUCCACCAGGCUUCCUCUGCUUUCCCUGUUGGCUUGGAGAACCUGGCUGAAGAGGGGUCCUGGGCCAGUUCCCUUUUCAGCUGUCAAGUCUGGGGCUGCCCAGCCUACAGGCCUCCUUCUCCACCACCCCACUGUCCCUUCAGGAAUGCAGGACCAGUGGUCAGGAGUUCCCUGAACAGUUGCUCUGGCCCUGGCCGCCCCACUGGUUCCCCCCAGACGUCAGGGGAAAUGUUCUGUAGAGAACAGGAUGUGUUUUCCUGCAAAAUCGUUUGUCUCACAAGAUGAUUUGCAUACUGGUAGGGACACAAAUGUCAUUCCCUGCCCAUUUCCUCCCUAGGGAGAAGUGUUCCCAUCACAGCUUUCCCCUCAAAGGACAGGCGGCUUUGUGGGCCCAGCCCCAGCCCCAAGGGACAACUUCCUGAUAGGAGGGAAUCAGAUAAUAGUGAGGACUCCCGGAAGUAAGGAGCCUCCUUUGUUGCCUUCUCACUUCCAGGGCUUGGCUAGAAGGGGGCUCCAGGCUCCAGCUCUGAUAAAUGGCCUGCUCCUGUGAUCCCCAGGGCUCUGGGCAUCUACCUUUAUAACACAUUCUUGGAGGUAAAUUACUGGAAAUUCAGCUGCUAGAAGGGAGGCUUGAGGUGCUGUUAGGUGAAAAAUAAUAACAAAUACGUAGUGCUUAUUACAUGCCAGCAUUGCUCUGAGCAACUUACUGUAAAUUCAUGUAAUUCUCACAACAUAGUGAGCUCGGUUCUAUAAUUUUUUUCCAUUGUCCAUGUGAGAGAUCAAGGUUCAGAGAGGUUAAGGGCACAAAGCUGGUAAGCAACACAACCAGAAUUUGAACACAGCCAAUCUGCCUCCUAAGUUGGGAUUUUAAGUACUAUAUUACAAGAGGGAGAAUUAGAAGAUUGGAGGUCUAGUCUAACCCUUGGAGGCUGUGCCGUAGUCCAGAAGCAUUGGCAUGGAAUUCAGGUUCCCUUAUGAUCUGGUCUCAGCCCUACUGCUAUCCCUCCUUGCCUCCUACCACCAUGAUCCACCGCCUCAACAGUCCAUGAACAUGCCCCAGCUGGUCUGCACGUAUCUUUCACUCUACCCAGACAGUACUUACCCAUUUCUGUCUGAAAUGUCUCUUUUUCUACCGAGAACCUCUGAAAAACCCUCCCUGUAGACUGGGGUUAGGCGGGCCUUUCUCUUUUUAAAAUUUUUAUUAUUAUUAUUACUUACAGUGGCUUUCGUCAGUUUGUCUUCUAAUUAUUGGCUAAUACGUCUCUUUUGCUUCUAGACUUCACUCCUAAGGACUGGAUAUCUGUCAUAUCCAUUUCAGAAUCCUCAGCACUCAAUCCAGUACCUUAUAUGUAGUAAAUACUCAGCAGAUGUCUGUUAUGUACAGUGAACAAAGGAUGUUACAAAAUAAUAUGUGCAGUGUGCUAAAUAUUGUAUUAUGUAUACUAUAACUAUAUCACCACCCAGAAUAUCCCAAAUGUUAACGAUUUUCACAGAAUUUGGGGGUUACAGGUGAUUUUUCUUUCUUUGCAUGUCUGCAUUUCCCAAAGUUUCCGUAAUGAUCAUGUGUUACUUUUGUAAUACAAAUGGAAAAAUAAAUUAUUAGAAAACUGGUU